AUGGUGCACUUCCAAUUCCUCAUUGAUCGGGUGAAGGCGAGGUUGGUCGGGUGGAAAGGCAAACUGCUUAAUCUGGCAGGGAGAAGGGUUCUCGUCAGAAGCAUCCUCUCUUCUCUCCCAACAUUUGCAAUGACAACUCUAAACGUUCCAAAGAAAAUCCUGAAAGAAGUGGACAAAUCACGACGACGCUUCCUCUGGGCUCAAGACGUAGAACUCUCUAGAGGCAAAUGUAAAGUAGCUUGGGACAAGGUAUGCACCCCACUAGCUCAAGGAGGCCUUGGACUCCUGGAUCUGAAAAAAUUCAGCUGGGCUCCGAGAAUAAGAUGGCAAUGUCUAGCUUGGGUACAGCCGGACAAACCUUGGGUUGGCAUGCAUCCACCUCCUGACGACCAAGAUUGGGCGCUAUUCGGCAAAGUGACAAGGAUCCAUAUAGGCAACAAGACGAGCUUCUAG
rnacentral:rRNA from 1 species